CGAUUUUAGGUGUUACAGAAACCGAUUUAUCGGUUUAAAUGUCAGAAUUAAACCGAUCAGUUAUUCGUUAAUAGUGUGCAAAUUUCUUUGCAUGAUGUAAAAAUGGGAGCGUUUUCCAUUGUCGUUCGUUCCUAAAAUUAUCCAGGUGGACAAUUUAAAUUUUCAUAAGCCUUUAGCAUUUCUGUUGUAACCAUAGAGACUGUAGGUCACGCUAAGGAGACAUUUGCGUGCCACAGACUAUUAAUAGGAACCAAUUAUAGUGGACUUUGUUUUAUUCUCAGAAAAAUAAGUGGCAAAAAAAGUGAAUCUAAAAUGUCUCAGCGGAAAAUAAUUUUAUCUUUACAUAAGCAGGCAAAUUGCUGAAAUAAUUGACAGAAGCCGCUACACCAUAAGAAGCAUUGUGAAACGAUAUGAGGAGGCUUCAUCUUAACAAAACGCAAUACGUACAGGCAGGCCCAAGGCUUUAAAUGACCGCAAACGCUGUAAGAACGGUAAAAAAAACCCAAUAUUAUCCACACAAAUCGCAGCGGAAGAUAAGGAAAACUUUAGAAAGUAUAUACAUCCGAUAACGUUCCAGAGAGCAUUGCACGAGGCUAACUUUUAUUCUCGUGCAGCUAGACGCAAACCCCUAAUUUCAAAAGUGAACCAAAAGAAACAUUUAGUUUAAGGCCGUCAAACUGUGUGGCGAAAACCUAACAUUGAACUUCAAAAAGAGAACCUCUCUGCGACUAUAAUCAUGGUGGUAAAGGAGUCAUUGUAUGGGGUCCGCUGCAAGUGUGGGCGAGCUGGAAUUCAUUGACGGCGUUAUGGACAAAAAAAUACUAUUAGGAAAUUCUUAAAGGGAAUGUCAAAAAAAGUAUUAAAAAGUAUGAAAAUAAAGGAGAAGGAGCACACUGAUAUUAGCUAAACUGGCAUUUAAUCAUUCGCAUUAACCCUCUGCGGUAAUUUUCGAAUACCAAAUCUAAAAAAUGAAUCUUCCUUUUCCUCGAUCCAAUCAUUAAACUUUCUUCAAUGACUUCAACAAACCAGAACCGAUGAGCACCCAUAUCGGUCUCCAUCCUACGAAAAAACCUUUAACCAGAAGUAGCGGGGUGUGCAGCAUGCGGCGGGUGGGGCAAGAGCGUUGUCCUGUUGACCAAUUACCUUGCUAUGCCUUUUGUUCGUUUCUGACACACAUAAAGCCUCCAAUUCCUCAUCUUCAAACUUUUUUAACUGGUUGAGCCUUCUUUUAAUAAAGGGCGGUAUUAAUUUGUACCUCCACGACUUUAUUAGUUUUAUAAUAAAUAUGUCAACUUGCUAAUCUUUUUUGUUUUAUUUUUCUCGUGUCAAUACACGUGUUUAGGCUUACUUACCCGCGAACUAUCCAAAAGCAACUAACAACAAUUCAUUGCACAAUUUCUUUUUGCCUACAAAAUUUUAUCAAUAAUUUACGC